rnacentral:rRNA from 1 species
AAAGAAGACCCUGUUGAGCUUGACUCUAGUCUGACUUUGUGAAGAGACAUGAGAGGUGUAGCAUAAGUGGGAGCUUUGGGAUCCCUCUUGGCGCUAGUUUCGGCUAGUGUCAAGACCCCUUGGCGAUCAUGAAAUACCACUACUCUCAUCGUUUCUUUACUUACACGGUAAAAAGGAAGUUGGGAUAGUGUCUCUCUCUGCAGGCUUUCGGGUCUGUUUGAGGAGGCCAUCUAUCUCUAAAUUCUAGAGCAAAAUGUGGUUCCAAUCAUACAUGCCACAAGACCCCUAGAGAAGGCUUGUUCUUUGCUUCGGGAAAGACUUGACUUUGCUAAAGACUUUGGUUUGAUUGGUAACCCUGUGUACGCGGGACUCGCGUUCCAACUACACUAACCGCAUGAUCCUCGCCGUGGACAUUGUCAGGCGGGUAGUUUGACUGGGGCGGUACAUCUGUCAAAAGGUAACGCAGGUGUCCUAAGGCCAGCUCAGUGAGGCCAGAAACCUCACGUAGAGCAAAAGGGCAAAAGCUGGCUUGAUCCAGACUUUCAGUACGAAUACGGACCGCGAAAGCGGGGCCUAUCGAUCCUUUCGAUGAAUGAGAGUUUCAUCCGAGAGGUGUCAGAAAAGUUACCACAGGGAUAACUGGCUUGUGGCAGCCAAGCGUUCAUAGCGACGUUGCUUUUUGAUCCUUCGAUGUCG